UUGCUGUUUCAGGGCGGGGUGAAAUUCCCCACUGGCGGUAAAUUGGGCGGUGCCAAAGGGGUGCCGUGGCGCAGGCGAGGACCUGCGUCGAGCCGAUGAGUCCGCGACCCGUGCGUGCGUUGGUUCGCAUGCCGGCUGAACUGGUGAGACCCCAGUACCAACGGUUAGAGUCCGGAUGAAAGAGGCAGGUG
rnacentral:ncRNA from 2 species